rnacentral:ncRNA from 1 species
GAUAAAGCGAUGAAGGAAAGAAGUAACUGUAGAAGUCAUGUAGAGAGCUAGUGGUUGGUGAAAACUAGUUGAUCUAUACAGCGAAAUACAUUCUCGAGCUGUAGGCUGAACAAAUCUAUUGUUUAAGUAGGCUGAUCCGUAUUUUCUACGUUACAGAAAUUCAAGAGAGUUAUAUAGAUAUGGACAAUUAUCAUAUCUACAUAAUUAAGUAGGGUGGUACCGCGUAUUACACAUUCGUCCCUGUA